GCAUAUCAAUAAGCGGAGGAAAAGAAACCAACAGGGAUUGCCUCAGUAACGGCGAGUGAAGCGGCAACAGCUCAAAUUUGAAACCUGCCAACCGGCCGGAUUGUAAUUUGUAGAGGAUGCUUUGGAGUCAGCACUGAUCUAAGUUUCUUGGAACAGUACGUCACAGAGGGUGAGAAUCCCGUUCGUGGUCGGCUGCUGGCUUCGUGUAAAGCUCCUUCGACGAGUCGAGUUGUUUGGGAAUGCAGCUCAAAAUGGGUGGUAAAUUUCAUCUAAAGCUAAAUAUUGGCCAGAGACCGAUAGCGCACAAGUAGAGUGAUCGAAAGAUGAAAAGCACUUUGGAAAGAGAGUUAAACAGCACGUGAAAUUGUUGAAAGGGAAGCGCUUGCAAUCAGACUUGCGCGUAGGUAAUCAAGGGCGGUUCGCUGCCCUGCACUUGCCUGCGCUCAGGCCAGCAUCAGUUUUGGGGGUGGGAUAAAGGCCGUGGGAAUGUGGCUCUUCGGAGUGUUAUAGCCCUCGGUGCCAUGCCGCCUCCCGAGACUGAGGACCGCGCUUCGGCUAGGAUGCUGGCGUAAUGAUUGUAAGCGACCCGUCUUGAAACACGGACCAAGGAGUCUAACAUCUAUGCGAGUGUUUGGGUGUCAAACCCACACGCGGAAUGAAAGUGAACGGAGGUGAGAGCCCUUGAGGGUGCAUCAUCGACCGAUCCUGAUGUCUUCGGAUGGAUUUGAGUAUGAGCAUAGCUGUUGGGACCCGAAAGAUGGUGAACUAUGCCUGAAUAGGGUGAAGCCAGAGGAAACUCUGGUGGAGGCUCGCAGCGGUUCUGACGUGCAAAUCGAUCGUCAAAUUUGGGCAUAGGGGCGAAAGACUAAUCGAACCAUCUAGUAGCUGGUUCCUGCCGA
rnacentral:rRNA from 1 species